UACGGGGGGAGCAAGCGUUGUUCGGAUUUACUGGGCGUAAAGGGCGCGUAGGCGGUCGUGACAAGUCACUUGUGAAAUCUCCGGGCUUAACUCGGAACGGUCAAGGGAUACUGUCGGACUAGAGUACAGAAGGGGCAACUGGAAUUCUCGGUGUAGCGGUGAAAUGCGUAGAUAUCGAGAGGAACACCUGCGGCGAAGGCGGGUUGCUGGGCUGAUACUGACGCUGAGGCGCGAAAGCGUGGGGAGCGAUCCGG
rnacentral:rRNA from 1 species